rnacentral:rRNA from 1 species
GAGUUUGAUCCUGGCUCAGAUUGAACGCUGGCGGCAGGCCUAACACAUGCAAGUCGAGCGGAUGACGGGAGCUUGCUCCUUGAUUCAGCGGCGGACGGGUGAGUAAUGCCUGGGAAUCUGCCUGGUAGUGGGGGACAACGUUUCGAAAGGAACGCUAAUACCGCAUACGUCCUACGGGAGAAAGCAGGGGACCUUCGGGCCUUGCGCUAUCAGAUGAGCCUAGGUCGGAUUAGCUAGUUGGUGGGUAAUGGCUCACCAAGGCGACGAAUCCGUAACUGGUCUGAGAGGAUGAUCAAGUCACACUGGAACUGAGACACGGUCCAGACUCCUACGGGAGCAGCA